rnacentral:lncRNA from 1 species
UAAGGACACCAGCAUUCCUGAGUUGUGAGUCACAAGGGAGAGAUGAUCAUUGGACAUUUUGUAAAUUUUUCAUUUUGUUUAUCAUAUUAUUGUUUUUAUAGGCGAGAUAUUGCUGUGUUGGCCGGGCUGGAGUGCAGUGGGGCAAUUUUAGCUCACUGCAGCAUCCAACUUCUGGUUCAAGCAAUCCUCUCACUUCAGCCUUCCAAGUAGUUAGGACUACAGGCAUAUGCUGCUGUGCUCAGCUAACUUUUUCAUUUUUUGUAGAGACAGGAUCUCACUUUGGAAGGCAGCUAUGCUCACCACUACACUGCCAACACCAGGAUCUCACUUUGUUGCCCAAGCUGGUCUUGAACUCCCGGACUCAAGCAACCCUCUUGCCUCAGCCUCCUAAAGUGCUGAGAUUACAGGCGUGAACCACACCAUGCCUGGCCCAUUUUGUCAAUUAAGUGUUUUGGAAAUGCUACUUGUUCAUUAUAAUCAAUCAGUAAAGGAUAAUUAUUGUAGAAAUUAGUAUUUACUAAGAGUUGAAAAAGCAUUCAGCUCUUUUUUUUUUGGCAGAGCUAGCUGAGGUUUUAUUUU